GCGAUGAACCAGACCGCCGCCCGGCGGAAUCUUUUUGGGAUUCUGCCGGGAGGAAAGUCCGGGCUCCGCAGGGCAUGAUGCCGGGUAACGCCCGGGCAAAGAACCGCCGCCGGAGGGUCAGCCCAAAGGUACCCGGUUUUUUGACAGACAGCGCAGCAGAAAGUAUACCGCCCGGUUACAUAAUCUUUGAUUGUGCGGCGGGGUAAGGGUGAAACGGCGGGGUAAGAGCCCUCCUCGGCGCUGGCAACAGCGCUGGAACGGCAAGCCUCAUCAGGAGCAAAGUUAAACAGUGCAGUAAAGGCGCAGCUUUUACGCCGGCUGCCCGCCGGUUCAGCACGGGUAGACUGCAUGGAGCGGCCCGGUAACGGUCCGCCCAGACAGAUGACGGUCAGGGUUUGGCCGCAAGCCAGGCCCGUACAGAACCCGGCUUACGGUUCAUCGUUUUU
rnacentral:RNase_P_RNA from 1 species